rnacentral:rRNA from 1 species
UACAGAGAGUGCAAACGUUGUUCGGAAUUACUGGGCUUAAAGCGCACGUAGGCGGUGUCGUAAGUGUCAGGUGAAAUCCCACGGCUCACCCGUGGAACUGCCUGGCAUACUGCGAUACUCGAGUGUGGUAGGGGAGAGCGGAACUCCUGGUGGAGCGGUGAAAUGCGCAGAUAUCAGGAGGAACACCGGUGGCGAAGGCGGGUCUCUGGGCAACAACUGACGCUGGAGGAGCGAAAGCGUGGGGAGCGAACAGG